rnacentral:rRNA from 1 species
AGCAGCCGCGGUAAUUCCAGCUCCAUAGCGUAUAUUAAAGUUGUUGCAGUUAAAAAGCUCGUAGUUGAAUUUCGGGGUCAGUAGAUUGGUCGUGCCACUGGUACGUACUGGUCUUACUGAUUCCUCCCUCCUGAUGAACUGUAAUGCCAUUAAUUUGGUGUUGCAGGGAAUCUGGACUGUUACUUUGACAAAAUUAGAGUGUUUAAAGCAGGCUAACGCUUGAAUACAUUAGCAUGGAAUAAUGAAAUAGGACGCUCGAUCCUAUUUUGUUGGUUUCUAGGAUUGACGUAAUGAUUAAUUAGGGAUAGUUGGGGCAUUAGUAUUCAAUUGUCAGAGGUGAAA